CCAAAAGAACGAAGGAAGUAAGGGAGAGGACAGAAAAGACAGGAAUGCAAAGAAGGCAGACAAGUGGUUAACCAGCGAUACCUGUGGGAAGAUGCGGUACAACCAUCCUGUCUCGUGUGAACUUUAUUGGUCAAAAUAAAGGCUGUAGAAAGAAUCAGAUAAGAACUUUGUUUCAGGGUAAGAUUUUUUUUCUCAAACUCUCAGUUUUGAAGCAUUCUUCUGUCAGCUUAACGUGGCUUAAUGGGAAGCCUCAAAUACACGGGGUGAGCAUCCAUGGAGCUACAAGCAAGAAAAAAAGCUCGACUAGUGGAAGAGGUUUCUAGGCAAUGAGUCGCCUCCUACAUUAGUGGGAUGAGCUUCCCUACGGGAAGUUUUGCCUUCUGGAGAAACCUAAAUGAGAGAGAUACUCCACUGCCCCACACCCUUCUUCUCUUCAUGUACUCCCGCUGCUAAAGAGACUGUAAAGCUUCCUGUUGAGAUAAAGAGCUGUGCUUACAAUGUGUAGCCCCAAACCAGCAAGAUAACACGCUGCCGUUUGCUGUGUUAGGCAAUGCCGUUUCUGUAGCGGGGCGGUAUUUCUGAAUGGAGAGAUUCAAACAGGGAACUGAUCCGUGGAUGAGCGUGUGAGGAGUUUAGUCUGGGGGUGCUAGAUGUUCGUGAUGGUAAAGAGUAAUAUUGGGAGUUUUCAGAUCAUUUUCCACGUACUUAAACACUAGAGACUUUCAAAUAGAAUACACAACUAUAACGAAAUUCCAGUAUUUAUUUCAUUGUGAUAAUCAAAGGGAAAGCUUUAGUAUAAAAGAUGAUGUUAAAUGUAUAAAAUAUUCCAUAAAUCUCUGUUUUUCUAAUGUCAUAGAUUGCCACCUUUCUUAGCUAUUUUAUUCAAAACUUUUCAAGUUCCCGUCAUGCUAUUUUUUAUUUCAUUGGUUUAUUUAGAUGUAGAGUGAUUUUUUUUUAAUUAUCUCCAACACAAGAAACUUCUCAAAGUCAAAGUUUUAUUGAUCAGUAAUUUUCCAGCAGCCCCUCCUUAUGUUUCAGCAGAUAACUCUGGACCAGGGCCAGCUGCUGUUUCCUGGCCUCAUUCCAAUUUUUUUCCCUGAAAAUGAAUACCCAAAAUGUUCGUCGUUCCCAUACUAUGGAAUCAAUGUGCAUAAUACAGAAAAAAUGUCAGGCUUUAUAAUGUGAUGCAGAAAAUUAAACUCUUGUUACUAUUUGUGAGUAGGUUUUCCUUCUUAGAAUGCAUAAUUUAAAAAAUAUGUUGUGGCUGCUGUUGUGGCUGUCAUACUAUCCCAUACUGGAAUCUGUGUCAGAAUUAUAAAAAAAUGCUAUAUGAGAAGAGAACCCGGGCAGACAUUUUCCUAGAACAUGUCAGAAGCAAACUUUUUGUGAACAAAUGAAUAAAAUUAAUCCUUCCAA